GGAGCUCAGGAUGCUGGGCAUUUAGCACUUCUGAAAGCUGCCCCUUAUUUUGGUGGGAUCGCUUGGGAAAAUCUGGACCUUCAAGCCCCUGGGAAAGAUCACUGAAAAGAGUUUGCAGAGGGUUUGCAGGAAGCUGGGAACCUGCACUCUGAUAGAAAGAAAGAGUGAUUCAGGACAGGGGCUGAGGAGAUCUGGGCUCAUUUCCCGAUACUGCCACAGAUUUCCUGUGUGAUUUCAGAUCGAGCACAUGGCAAGGAAUCAAGAAAUCAGCUUUUCUUCUGCAGCAUUGCUUUGCUGCAUUCCUGCUUCCCUACCCAUCCAUCCACACAUCCGGUUUGUACCCGUAUUGCAUGGAAGCAAGAGGAAAAGGUUGCCUGUAAAUGUCUUACCCUUACUGAACUGGUGAAGAUUUUGGAGCCCAAAGGAUAAACUGUUGCUGCUAAAGGAUUUCAUGAGACAGACAGGAAAUUCAACUGCAAAUUAACGAGUUCCAGGGACACAGCAGGCUCCUGCACGCAUGGAUCUGAAAGCUAAUAUUACUCCUCUGCAGGACAGCAGAAGAAACAUAAAGAUAGAAGAAAGCAGAAUGAAGUUGUUGUGAAAGAAGCUAAACAUCAUAGAUCAACUGUAAAUGAUCUGGCAAUCAGCCAGUUCAAUACAGGCUGCUUUCUACCUCAAGCUGUUUGCAAGAAUAGAAGGCAGAUAAAGGGGGUGGCUGCAAAUGAGACAAAAAUAUAAAUGCAUCAAAUCCCCACAACUGCUGCCUGUAUAGAUAAUGAACCAACAGCAAUUGCUACAGAAAUGAGUCAAUCAAUAGUGGAGAGUGCAGACUGCAAGCUCGUGGAGGCCAGGGCUGUGUUUCUCUACGUGUACUGGGACCAGACUGGGGCUUCGAAGCAUUGCUGUGACAACGACGGGGACUGGGCAAGUAGGAAAGUCAACAUUACAGAGGCUGUGUUAAAUGACCAUGGUUUGGUAGCUGCUUCUAUUGCAAUACGAAGCGUACUCAAAUGUAACUCAACAAAGCACGAGCUGAUGGUUAGACCAAGACACUGCAAUCCUAUUUCAGCUUCCGCUGCCGGCUCUGUCACUGAGUUACCACCUGUCGUCUUUAGAUCAUAAAGGCUUUUUUUGGACCUUCUGAAAAAUCACUGACCUCUCUGUGCCUCUGGUUGCCUGUCUGUAAAGUGGAGAUAAAAAUGCUCAUCACCCAUUCAGAUGUGCUGGGAGUUUUAGUGAUAUAGGAAAAGCCUCCAAUGAAAGGCAGUGGAGUAGGAAAUAGGUAGGAUUCCCAAGCAUUUCUAAAAGAUUAGCUCCAGGAAUCUCAGAGAAGAGAGGACCAGCUGUAUCGCUUUGCUUUUUAAAAAGCCUCUGACAGCUCAGAGACCUGCGUUGUCUUGGCCUAAUCUAUUCUCCCCUCACCACCUUCCAGUGAGUUGGCUGCUAACUUCCUGGCCAGAGCAAGGGUCAGGCGCUCCAAGAGGAGCAGACACCACGGCCGAUCAGUGAUUUAUCCAUCAGGGAGCCGUGAGGUCAGAAAAGCCUGAAACCUAACUCUCCAUCAGUCUGACAUCAAGUUUAAGAUGCAGUCGAGGUCUGCAGACUUGGAGCUUACCAUGCUAAAGUCUGUUCCAAAAUUCAGGUCAUGCUCCUGCUAUCUACACCAGUAACCCAGUGUGCCGCCGUCCAAAGACCAGAGUGGAAAACUGCCUCCAGUUUUCCGUCUGCAGCUGCAAUAAGCUGUACGGAGCUUAAAGUUUGUCCAGGUUUUAAACUAGGAGGCUUUCAUUUAAAUAGGCUUCUGUACAAAAUAAAUUACAAGGUUGAACAAAGAAAAAUCCUCUAAUGCAAUGAGGGUUCCAGUGCUAGCUUGGGUUUCUCCCACAUGAACAUUUUACCAGCAUCACUAACCCCAAGCGUUCAGAAAUCAUGAGUCAGGCUCCUCCAAAUCAUGAGACUGGCUUGAACAUCAUAAAUCGGGGGCUCUUUUUAUUUGCCUUCUGGUUUCUGAGACUUGAGGGUCACACUCCGGUCAUGUUUUUAAGCUUUUCUCUAAAACCACAAGGGCUAGAUUUUUUUCUCUUUUAACGAAAACUAAGAUUCUCAAGCAGCCGGGACUUCAGGAAAACUACCAAAUAUCACAAGACUUGCAACAAAACCAUGAGAGCUGGAACUCUUGAUCAUACAAAUAACUCUUUAUUCCUAUUAAGAGUUAUUCAUAUAAAUAACUCUUUAUUCUUAUUCCUACUACUACAGCUGUCUGCGUGGCAUUGGGGAAGUCACAUACUCCACAUACUCCACCUGUCCCAUCCACUGUCCUGUCCCAUAUUAUUCUAAAUUGCUUUUAGAUUUCUAAUAUUAUUCUAAAUUGCUUUCUAAAUUGUCUCUCCUACCUUUCAUCUGCUUUUUUUUAGACUGUAAAAUCUUUGGGGCACAAACCAUCUUUUAUUAGAGUUUGUGUACAGCACCAAGCACCGUGAGCCCUGAAGCUGACUGGAGCUUUUAGGUACAAAUAAUAAUCGCGUCUCAGCCUCUUGAAGGCUCAGAUCAUGUGCUUGGGCAGUUUCUUUUGGAUCUUGACGCCAAGGACCAAGUGCACUUAUUAACACUUACUUCUUGGCUUGUUUGAGAAUUUGCUCUUAUUCUUAACAAAUAUUUUUGGAGGUCUGGGAGUAAUCAGGCUGUCCUGUUACACUUACAUUUUAUGGUUUUAUUUUUAAAGAACCGGGGGGAAAGUUUGGGGCAAAAUACAUUUCUUGGAACGUGCAUAAUCCUGCCAACAGGUGGCGCUUCCAUCUCAGGUGAGAACAAAAUAAACUGGAGCCUCAACUUGGGAGAGCAGCUGGUUAGGAACUAUCAUCAAUGGUAAUUAAUAAUGGCAGUAAUUAAUUAGCUGGGCUAGGCUGAUGUGAUUGGCCAGCUAACUGUGGAGAAUGACAGGGGGGAAAAAGGGAUCUUGCUAGCACGAAGGGGAACAGAGAGCAGAAAUCCAGACCUGCUCGGAUAAGUGCCGUGAUUUGUGGCUAGCUUAUCCCGCCGCACCGAACAGACAAAGCUCUCUCCUCCUCCACUUGGCCCAGAUAAAAUAUUUAUCACCCUGUCGUCAUUCCUAAGCAGCAUCCAAACUUUAUUAGGGAACAUUAGUUAAAACAGAAAAGAAUCCUAAACAUUUGUCUGUGCAUGGUGCUUUUAAGUGAAUAAUUGAGACACACGGAUUUGUUAAUUAAGUCAUUCCUUACUCAACAUAUUUGAGAUCUAGUGACAUUUUUGUAAUGCUGCUGUCUAAUGAAGUCACUUGUAAUUAGCAACACAUUUGUCACUUAGCAAAUCAUUAUUUCAUUAACAGCAAGUUUAAAAGUGGCUUGAUUUAUGGGAAGCACAAAUGCCCAAUGGAUAUUGCAGAAGCUUGAAAGCCGAUAACUAGUAAUUAGUAACUAGUGUGUGCCCUCAAUAGCUUUGCUGAUCAGCACAUGUACCCAGAAGUCAGGGACAGUCAUUCUCCAAAGCACCAGGCCUGUAGCUAACUGCUAGACAGCCACUAAAAGUGAGAUGGGAAUUAGGUAAGGAGCUCACCGCCGGGCUUUUGAAGAGUAUCAUCCCGAAGCAGGAUAGAUCAAAAUCAAUGAUUUUAAAAAAAGGAGUUUUAAAAUUUUUAAUUCGUUUUUAUAUUUUUAAUUUUUAAUUAUAAUUACAUUUUCCUUAAUUAACUAGCUUAAAUGAAGUUUGAAUUGAAUUCAGCACAGGCCACGCAUCUGUGAAGAAGCUUGUGACAAAAUUGAUGGAAGUAGCACAAGCUAAAGUAGUCAACAUUGAACUAAAAAGAAAUGUAGAUAUGGUGAAUAUGCGAAAACCUAUUUCUAUAUCCUUGGACUAACUACAAAAGAUUGCUGCUGUAUUGUGGAUGCUGCUGGAAUUUAGAAAGAACUUCAUGAAAGAUUAAAGCAAGAAAUACCCAAUAACGGAGCUAAACUGCAGGCAGUAAAUAAGCAGAUGGGUCAGACGCAUUUAUUCCACUUCAUUUUUUUUGCCCAUAUUCUUAACACAAAGUACCAGGGUAGAUGCCUAAUUGCCAAAGAGGAAAAUGCUGCAAUGACAUGAACAUCUACUAGUCACCCAUCAGUCACGCCAACCUUAAUAAACUUCAGGGCUAGAGGUGAACCACUGAAGCAGUGCGUGUUUGCUGAGGAUGUUUUAAAGAAAGUCACACCGCUGAACUAGUAGAAGUCACUAGCAAAGCCCCUGGAACCAGAGGUUGUUGAAGUGCUAAACCAGCUUUUACCAGCAGCAGCAGAAAGAACAUUUUCUUCAUUUGGACUGGUUUAUUCGAAGCUGAGAAAUCGAUUGGGAGUUGUAAAAGCAUGAAAGACUGUUUUUCUCUUCCAGCCUAUGAAUAAAAAGCAGAAGAGGAUGAGACUUUUGACUUCUAAAAACUUAAAAGGGAGGACAUUUUUGUCAAAAAAGCCUACGUAGAAAAAUGACUGUCAUAUUUUAGAGAGAAUUAGGCAAGUAGGAACUUCAGCUCACAUGACUUUCAUCUAGGUGUUUUGGACAAUUUUCCCCAGGGUGACCUGAAAUUACUGUGGUUUAAUUCACUAACUGCAGUUCAUACUUUUAAUACUAUAACAGUUAAUGCUAGUGUUUAAUAACUUGGUUAGUUGUACAUGUGCACCAUAUUUUAAAUAAAAAAAAAAAAGUUUUGUAUCCAAAAUGUGACGGUUGGGUUUAAUAAAUCUGACGGGCUGGUUUUGUGGGUUUAAUUAAAUUCAAGUGGCCAGCUGAAUGCAGCUUGAUACAAAUGUGAGCAAAAAGUUAAUCAUCUAGUGAAUAAGAAAUACAUAUUUCACUAUUUUAUUGCAUACUAAAAUGUACAAUUCCUAAUUAUCCAAAUUAAGCUAUGCAUUGUGUGUGUGUGUGUGUGUGUGUGUGUGUUUAUCCAAGUUUGUUAAGCUAUGUAUUUUGUGUGUGUGUGUGAGUUUGUGUACCUAGGAAACGUGUCAAAUCUACCAUAAAAACUGUACUUAGUUGUAAAACAACAUUUUUAAUUGAUAAUAUCAACCGAUGAAAAUACACCUUUCUUUAAAAAAAAAACCAUAUAAUGGGAAAGCUGAUAUAAAUUUAUUAUUUAAAUUGGGGUUUUGGCUUGCCCCUCCCAUGAGCACAUCAAUGGCCUGCCACACUUUAACCGUGAUGGAGCACAGAGAAAGGAAGUAAAAAGCAAGGUUUUAGGGGAGCUAAAGCUGUAAGCAAGGGAGAAUUAAAACCUCUAGCAUUUGGGGGUGGGGGAGGCAUGCAGGGACCCUCAUGGGCAUGGGACCCGCACCCGCAUGGGACCCCGAAAGGGGCAUGCAGGGACCCUGCACACUUUCCAGCACCUCCAGCCAGAGCCAUUUAGUCCUCCUGGGUCCGAACCAGCGAGAGCUCUUUCCAAGCGAGGAUCCCAGCCGGAUCGCCCAGCUCUGCAAGGAGAGUCCAUCCUCCUUCCCGUCUCAAGUGCCUGGGCUUCAAAUGGGAGAACUCCAAACAUUUUCAUCCUUCUCAAAUGUACAUCUGUGUUUAUUAUUUUUUGCCCUGUGAGGCUGACAAUGUGCAACUCUGUUCGCAUAUUUUCUAGAAGAGAGCAAGCACAGUUUGUUUAUCUGUCAGCUAUAGGUGCCAGUGCUGCAUGUCUACAGGGUGACAGGAAAAUAAAUGGAGCUAUUAUGCCACGUUUAGACUCCUUUCCUCUCCCCCCACUAUAUUUGUCUUCCCUUCUGUUCUAAAAGCAGAGCCACCGAACACACACUGCACUGUGCUCCCGCCUGCUUUUGCUUUGAUCCUUAGAGAGCAUGUCUUAAAUGCACAGGAGUUAGCUCCGAGGUCCUGAUCCUGUAUUACCCCAGUGGCAAAAACUUCUGCAGACAUCAGUCCUUUAAGAAGGAUGGUUACUGUUGAAAUGGGCUGAACUGGGUCUAAAGCUCCCAAUGCUUCCCUAUGUGGAUGGGGUUCAGACUUAACUCAUGAAGAAAUGUCAUUGUAUUUAAGGUUACGGUGAUACUUCUUGAAAGGGAGCUUAGGAGGCUCUCUGCCGUGUUUUUACAAUAGCUAAAAAAUCAUUCCGCCUUUUUUUUGUGUGUGUAACAGUGGGUUGUUGAAUUGAAAGAUUAAAACAGGUCAAAAGAUGAGAUCCUUGCCCAUGGAAACUGUCUACCUUUUGUCAAAAAAAUGAAAACUUGAAAAACUGCAAAAGUGAAAAUUGUAAGCUGGAAACAGAUGAAAACUUUCAGCUGAAAACUCAAGACAUUUUAGUCUCCAGCCAAAACAAGUUAAUUUUGCAUUUUGGUCUUGUAAUACAAAAUAAAGAGUUUUCACAGUU